rnacentral:ncRNA from 2 species
AAAUAAUAUCAAGCGCCAGAACCCUGGUUAGUAUAAGAGGGUUGACGAGGAGAGGGAUGAUCGAAUAUUCGGCGGAUGCCCUCCGGCCGGUCACGGCCGUUAACGCAGUCCAAAACCCGCAGGCAACUGCGGGGCCAAAUGACUGUCGGUGACCAAC